ensembl:lncRNA
GUUGUUGUUGGUGCAGCAGUUGUCGUUGGUGCAGCAGUUGUUGUUGUUGGUGCUACAAAUGUCGUUGUUGGUGCAGCAGUUGUCGUUGUUGGUGCAGCAGUUGUUGUCGUUGGUGCAGCAGUUGUCGUAGUUAGUGAAGCAGUUGUUGGUGCAGCAGUUGUCGUUUGUGCAGCAGUUGUCGUUGGUGCAGCAGUUGUCGUGGUUGGUGCAGCAGUUGUCGUUUGUGCAGCAGUUGUCGGUGAUCCAGCAGUUGUCGGUGUUGUUGCCACUGUUAUGGUUGUUGGAGCCGCUGUUAUGGUUGUUGGUGCCACUGUUGAAGUUGUUGGAGCUGCUGUUGUGGUAGCUGGAACUGUUGUGGUAGUUGGAACUGCUGUUGUGGUUGUUGGAGCAGCUGUUGUGGUUGUCGGAGCUGCUGUUGUGGUUGGUUGAUCCGGGCCUGUGGUUGUUGGAGCCGCUGUUGUGGUUGUUGGAGCUGCUGUUGUGGUUGGUGGACCCAGGCCUGUUGUUGUUGGAGCUGCAGUUGUCGUUUGUGCAGCAGAUGUCGUUGGUGCAAUAGUUGUCAAUGUUGGUGCAGCAGUUGUGGUUGAUGCAGUAGUUGUUGUUGUUAGUGCAGUAGUUGUUGUUGUUGUUCCUGCAGCAGUUGUCGUUGUUGGUGCAGCAGUUAUUGUAGUUGGUGCAGCAGUUGUCGUUGUUAGUGAAGCAGUUGUUGGUGCAGCAGUUGUCAUUGGUGUAGCAGUGGUUGGUGUUGGUACAGCAGUUGUCGUUAUUGGUGCGACAGUUGUCAAUGUUGGUGCAGCAGUUAUUGUCGCUGUUGGUGCAGCAGUUGUCGUUGUUGGUGCAGCAGUUGUCGUUUGUGCAGCAGUUGUUGUUUGUGCAGCAUUUGUCGUUGUUGGUACAGCAGUUGUCGUUGUAGGUGAAAAAGUUGUUGUUGUAGGUGCAGCAGUUGUGGUUGAUGCAGUAGUUGUUGUUUGUGCAGUAGUUGUUGUUGGUGCAGAAGUUGUUGUUGUUGGUGCAGCUGUUGUUGUCG